rnacentral:rRNA from 1 species
CUGCGUACCUUUUGUAUAAUGGGUCAGCGACUUAUAUUCUGUAGCAAGGUUAACCGAAUAGGGGAGCCGAAGGGAAACCGAGUCUUAACUGGGCGUUAAGUUGCAGGGUAUAGACCCGAAACCCGGUGAUCUAGCCAUGGGCAGGUUGAAGGUUGGGUAACACUAACUGGAGGACCGAACCGACUAAUGUUGAAAAAUUAGCGGAUGACUUGUGGCUGGGGGUGAAAGGCCAAUCAAACCGGGAGAUAGCUGGUUCUCCCCGAAAGCUAUUUAGGUAGCGCCUCGUGAAUUCAUCUCCGGGGGUAGAGCACUGUUUCGGCAAGGGGGUCAUCCCGACUUACCAACCCGAUGCAAACUGCGAAUACCGGAGAAUGUUAUCACGGGAGACACACGGCGGGUGCUAACGUCCGUCGUGAAGAGGGAAACAACCCAGACCGCCAGCUAAGGUCCCAAAGUCAUGGUUAAGUGGGAAACGAUGUGGGAAGGCCCAGACAGCCAGGAUGUUGGCUUAGAAGCAGCCAUCAUUUAAAGAAAGCGUAAUAGCUCACUGGUCGAGUCGGCCUGCGCGGAAGAUGUAACGGGGCUAAACCAUGCACCGAAGCUGCGGCAGCGACACUGUGUGUUGUUGGGUAGGGGAGCGUUCUGUAAGCCUGUGAAGGUGUGCUGUGAGGCAUGCUGGAGGUAUCAGAAGUGCGAAUGCUGACAUAAGUAACGAUAAAGCGGGUGAAAAGCCCGCUCGCCGGAAGACCAAGGGUUCCUGUCCAACGUUAAUCGGGGCAGGGUGAGUCGACCCCUAAGGCGAGGCCGAAAGGCGUAGUCGAUGGGAAACAGGUUAAUAUUCCUGUACUUGGUGUUACUGCGAAGGGGGGACGGAGAAGGCUAUGUUGGCCGGGCGACGGUUGUCCCGGUUUAAGCGUGUAGGCUGGUUUUCCAGGCAAAUCCGGAAAAUCAAGGCUGAGGCGUGAUGACGAGGCACUACGGUGCUGAAGCAACAAAUGCCCUGCUUCCAGGAAAAGCCUCUAAGCAUCAGGUAACAUCAAAUCGUACCCCAAACCGACACAGGUGGUCAGGUAGAGAAUACCAAGGCGCUUGAGAGAACUCGGGUGAAGGAACUAGGCAAAAUGGUGCCGUAACUUCGGGAGAAGGCACGCUGAUAUGUAGGUGAAGUCCCUCGCGGAUGGAGCUGAAAUCAGUCGAAGAUACCAGCUGGCUGCAACUGUUUAUUAAAAACACAGCACUGUGCAAACACGAAAGUGGACGUAUACGGUGUGACGCCUGCCCGGUGCCGGAAGGUUAAUUGAUGGGGUCAGCGCAAGCGAAGCUCUUGAUCGAAGCCCCGGUAAACGGCGGCCGUAACUAUAACGGUCCUAAGGUAGCGAAAUUCCUUGUCGGGUAAGUUCCGACCUGCACGAAUGGCGUAAUGAUGGCCAGGCUGUCUCCACCCGAGACUCAGUGAAAUUGAACUCGCUGUGAAGAUGCAGUGUACCCGCGGCAAGACGGAAAGACCCCGUGAACCUUUACUAUAGCUUGACACUGAACAUUGAGCCUUGAUGUGUAGGAUAGGUGGGAGGCUUUGAAGUGUGGACGCCAGUCUGCAUGGAGCCGACCUUGAAAUACCACCCUUUAAUGUUUGAUGUUCUAACGUGGACCCGUGAUCCGGGUUGCGGACAGUGUCUGGUGGGUAGUUUGACUGGGGCGGUCUCCUCCUAAAGAGUAACGGAGGAGCACGAAGGUUGGCUAAUCCUGGUCGGACAUCAGGAGGUUAGUGCAAUGGCAUAAGCCAGCUUGACUGCGAGCGUGACGGCGCGAGCAGGUGCGAAAGCAGGUCAUAGUGAUCCGGUGGUUCUGAAUGGAAGGGCCAUCGCUCAACGGAUAAAAGGUACUCCGGGGAUAACAGGCUGAUACCGCCCAAGAGUUCAUAUCGACGGCGGUGUUUGGCACCUCGAUGUCGGCUCAUCACAUCCUGGGGCUGAAGUAGGUCCCAAGGGUAUGGCUGUUCGCCAUUUAAAGUGGUACGCGAGCUGGGUUUAGAACGUCGUGAGACAGUUCGGUCCCUAUCUGCCGUGGGCGCUGGAGAACUGAGGGGGGCUGCUCCUAGUACGAGAGGACCGGAGUGGACGCAUCACUGGUGUUCGGGUUGUCAUGCCAAUGGCACUGCCCGGUAGCUAAAUGCGGAAGAGAUAAGUGCUGAAAGCAUCUAAGCACGAAACUUGCCCCGAGAUGAGUUCUCCCUGACCCUUUAAGGGUCCUGAAGGAACGUUGAAGACGACGACGUUGAUAGGCCGGGUGUGUAAGCGCAGCGAUGCGUUGAGCUAACCGGUACUAAUGAACCGUGAGGCUUAACCU